AGCACCGUUAACUAGCUAAUGCGGAGUUUAGGUAUAAGAUUAACAUCCCGUCAAUCUUAUGUCGCAGGUUCGAUUCCUGUCGGUGUUA
rnacentral:tRNA from 1 species